UGUCACUUCCGGCAUCACCGGUGGCCAUCUUGUCACAGGCAGGCUUCCUGGUGGGCUCUGUGGUACCUAAUAUAAGGUUCAGCCAGGACCACUUGGAGCUUCUCUUCAACUCCAUCAGAGUAUCUGCAGGAGGAGAAGAUCUUCCAUCCCCGUUUGCUGACAUUCCUGCCCUUGUACAUGAUCACAGCUACCUUCCCGUCCACUUCGAUGGUCUUGUGGACAACGUUCUCAUGUACAUUUCAGGCUCUGAAGAAGCUGUCGUGUGAUGUCUGCCAUGCCAGCCUGGUGACAUGCUGCAUCUGCCAUCAAGGACCUGCUGAAUUAAAAAAACAAUGGAGGUGAUUCCAUCAGAGGGAACCGUGAGUGUCGUCAGGGCAGCAGAGUGGGUCGUUCGGCAGUCAUCAGGCAGUACCAGACGAUCACAGCCUAUCAAACUGCUUGAGGAUGUUUACAUUGUCUGAAAAAGGAUCGGUUCAGAGGAUGUGUUUGUGUUGGGAUAGACAGUAUGGGAUAGACAUCCACCACCAUAGGCUGUUAAAAAUAAUUCUGUCCCUGUUUUUUAAGUUAAGGCUGCACCACAUCGCCAGAAUUACAAUCCUCAGCUUACAGAGCAACAACAUGCAACAGAAACUUAAUUAAACUGUCCUUUUCAAAGGGCAUUAGCCCAAGGUAUGUGUUUUCAAGGUACAGGUACCUCCAAAUCCGAGGCCAUGGUCCUCAGUCGGAAAAGGGUGGCUUGCCCGCUUCAGGUUGGUGGAGAGUGCCUGCCUCAAGUGGAGGAGUUUAAGUAUCUAGGGGUCUUGUUCACGAGUGAGGGAAGGAUGGAACGGGAGAUUGACAGACGGAUCGGUGCAGCUUCUGCAGUAAUGCGGUCGAUGUAUCGGUCUGUCGUGGUGAAGAAAGAG
ensembl:lncRNA